rnacentral:rRNA from 1 species
CUGUAAGCCUGUGAAGGUGGCCUGUGAGGGUUGCUGGAGGUAUCAGAAGUGCGAAUGCUGACAUAAGUAACGAUAAAGCGGGUGAAAAGCCCGCUCGCCGGAAGACCAAGGGUUCCUGUCCAACGUUAAUCGGGGCAGGGUGAGUCGACCCCUAAGGCGAGGCCGAAAGGCGUAGUCGAUGGGAAACGGGUUAAUAUUCCCGUACUUGGUGUUACUGCGAAGGGGGGACGGAGAAGGCUAUGUUGGCCGGGCGACGGUUGUCCCGGUUUAAGCGUGUAGGUGUGUGUUCCAGGUAAAUCCGGUUCACUUUAACACUGAGGCGUGACGACGAGGCACUACGGUGCUGAAGCAACAAAUGCCCUGCUUCCAGGAAAAGCCUCUAAGCAUCAGGUAACAUCAAAUCGUACCCCAAACCGACACAGGUGGUCAGGUAGAGAAUACCAAGGCGCUUGAGAGAACUCGGGUGAAGGAACUAGGCAAAAUGGUGCCGUAACUUCGGGAGAAGGCACGCUGACACGUAGGUGAAGUGAUUUACUCAUGGAGCUGAAGUCAGUCGAAGAUACCAGCUGGCUGCAACUGUUUAUUAAAAACACAGCACUGUGCAAACACGAAAGUGGACGUAUACGGUGUGACGCCUGCCCGGUGCCGGAAGGUUAAUUGAUGGGGUCAGCGCAAGCGAAGCUCCUGAUCGAAGCCCCGGUAAACGGCGGCCGUAACUAUAACGGUCCUAAGGUAGCGAAAUUCCUUGUCGGGUAAGUUCCGACCUGCACGAAUGGCGUAAUGAUGGCCAGGCUGUCUCCACCCGAGACUCAGUGAAAUUGAACUCGCUGUGAAGAUGCAGUGUACCCGCGGCAAGACGGAAAGACCCCGUGAACCUUUACUAUAGCUUGACACUGAACAUUGAGCCUUGAUGUGUAGGAUAGGUGGGAGGCUUUGAAGUGUGGACGCCAGUCUGCAUGGAGCCGACCUUGAAAUACCACCCUUUAAUGUUUGAUGUUCUAACGUGGACCCGUGAUCCGGGUUGCGGACAGUGUCUGGUGGGUAGUUUGACUGGGGCGGUCUCCUCCUAAAGAGUAACGGAGGAGCACGAAGGUUGGCUAAUCCUGGUCGGACAUCAGGAGGUUAGUGCAAUGGCAUAAGCCAGCUUGACUGCGAGCGUGACGGCGCGAGCAGGUGCGAAAGCAGGUCAUAGUGAUCCGGUGGUUCUGAAUGGAAGGGCCAUCGCUCAACGGAUAAAAGGUACUCCGGGGAUAACAGGCUGAUACCGCCCAAGAGUUCAUAUCGACGGCGGUGUUUGGCACCUCGAUGUCGGCUCAUCACAUCCUGGGGCUGAAGUAGGUCCCAAGGGUAUGGCUGUUCGCCAUUUAAAGUGGUACGCGAGCUGGGUUUAGAACGUCGUGAGACAGUUCGGUCCCUAUCUGCCGUG